CCUACGGGUGGCAGCAGUGGGGAAUAUUGCACAAUGGGGGAAACCCUGAUGCAGCAACGCCGCGUGAGUGAAGAAGUAUUUCGGUAUGUAAAGCUCUAUCAGCAGGGAAGAAAAUGACAGUACCUGAUUAAGAAGCCCCGGCUAACUACGUGCCAGCAGCCGCGGUAAUACGUAGGGGGCAAGCGUUAUCCGGAUUUACUGGGUGUAAAGGGAGCGUAGACGGCUGCGCAAGUCAGAAGUGAAAGCCCGGGGCUCAACCGCGGGACUGCUUUUGAAACUGUGUAGCUAGAGUGCAGGAGAGGUAAGUGGAAUUCCUAGUGUAGCGGUGAAAUGCGUAGAUAUUAGGAGGAACACCGGUGGCGAAGGCGGCUUACUGGACUGUAACUGACGUUGAGGCUCGAAAGCGUGGGGAGCAAACAGGAUUAGAUACCCGAGUAGUC
rnacentral:rRNA from 1 species